AUUGAACGCUGGCGGAAUGCUUUACACAUGCAAGUCGAACGGCAGCAUAGGUGCUUGCACCUGAUGGCGAGUGGCGAACGGGUGAGUAAUACAUCGGAACGUGCCCAGUCGUGGGGGAUAACGUAGCGAAAGUUACGCUAAUACCGCAUACGAUCUAAGGAUGAAAGCGGGGGACCGUAAGGCCUUGCGCGAUUGGAGCGGCCGAUGUCAGAUUAGGUAGUUGGUGAGGUAAAGGCUCACCAAGCCGACGAUCUGUAGCUGGUCUGAGAGGACGACCAGCCACACUGGGACUGAGACACGGCCCAGACUCCUACGGGAGGCAGCAGUGGGGAAUUUUGGACAAUGGACGCAAGUCUGAUCCAGCCAUUCCGCGUGCAGGACGAAGGCCUUCGGGUUGUAAACUGCUUUUGUACGGAACGAAAAAGCUCUUACUAAUACUAGGAGUCCAUGACGGUACCGUAAGAAUAAGCACCGGCUAACUACGUGCCAGCCGCCGCCGUAA
rnacentral:rRNA from 1 species